rnacentral:rRNA from 1 species
AGCGAACGCUGGCGGCAGGCUUAACACAUGCAAGUCGAGCGGGCAUCCUUGUGGUGUCAGCGGCAGACGAGUGAGUAACGCGUGGGAACGUGCCCUUCGGUUCGGAAUAACUCAGGGAAACUUGAGCUAAUACCGGAUACGUGCGAGAGCAGAAAGGUUUAUCUGCCGAAGGAUCGGCCCGCGUCUGAUUAGCUAGUUGGUGAGGUUAUGGCUCACCAAGGCGACGAUCAGUAGCUGGUCUGAGAGGAUGAUCAGCCACACUGGGACUGAGACACGGCCCAGACUCCUACGGGAGGCAGCAGUGGGGAAUAUUGGACAAUGGGGGCAACCCUGAUCCAGCCAUGCCGCGUGAGUGAUGACGGCCUUAGGGUUGUAAAGCUCUUUUCUCCGGGACGAUAAUGACGGUACCGGAGGAAUAAGCCCCGGCUAACUUCGUG